GAAGGCUUGCAUUAAAUUCUGGCUCCAGGCCACUGCGGUGCAUUGUGGCCUGGAGGUGCUUUGGGCAUACUAGACAUUGCCACCACCCAAAGCUUCGUGCUGGUUCUUGAGAAGAGAGUAGGGCAAGUUAGCUAUGUAUUGUGAGGAUACACAAGCAAUUUAUAAAGAGGCUCAUGUGGCAAUAAUGGGGAACUCUUGCCAACCCCAUGGAAUGGAGCCAUCCAGGAAACAGACACCCAGCUCCAGUCCAACUGUCAGAUGCCUGAAGCUCUUGCCAACAUCUUGAGCUUACCACAGUGGAAUGAGGACCUGGACGGGGCCACCCAGGUUGUGAGUUGUGUCCUUCCCUCAACCUCAGUCUUUCUCAACUGGCUGCUGCUUAAGGAAUCAGAGCAAAGGAAAUAAAGCAGAGAGGGGAAGAGGUCCAUAGCUCCAGGCUGUGAACUUCCAGAAAUGCAAGCUACCCUUCAAACAAACAAAACCGAAAACAUUUCUUACAGGAAGAUGAUCAACAUAGACCAAGAAUGAAUGAACGAGGGCAGCUGUGAGAAGAAAG
rnacentral:lncRNA from 1 species